AGAAAACAACCGAGGCAGGGUAUGCAAAGGUUCAGAGAAAUGGUGUGGGAAGAGGGCAGUGUGGUCAGACAGAUCUGAAUUUGACCUUGACUUCACUCUCCUGGGUCAUUAGACCUUGAGCAGAUCCUAUCCACCCAUACUGAGUGUCAAUUGCCUUCUUUGUGAGAAGGGGCUGAUUCUGUGCUGCUAGGGUUAGAGGGAUGGGCAGGAACGAAGGGCCUUGUUUUUGAGCCUGGGUGAGACAGACCUGCUGGGCAGGGCAAGCAGGAUAGAGAGCUUCAUGCCCAGGGGCCAAACUUCAGGGACUUGGCAAAUAAGACUUUGGUUCUGGACAAACAUCACCAAUCAACAUUGCGCUCAGUAUCUACCCUGGUCCUUACAACUUAAUAUAGAAACACAAACGAUCCAGUUGACAAAGUGGAAAGGAAAUCAAACCACAACGAGAUGUGGCCUCACUCCAAUUAGAAUGGCCAAAGAUAGCAGGUGCCAAAGGGGAUAGGGGAAAGGGGACCCUUGCACACUCCUGGCGGGAGGGUGUGUUAGUACAGCAGCUAUAGAAAACAGGGUGGCGGCCCCUCAGGAAAACGGAAAAGGAAACCACCACAGGACCAGCCGUGCCACCGCUGGGUGGAUGUCCAGAGGAAAGGAACUCAGCAUGUUCAGGAGGCAUCAGCACUAUUCACAGCAGCCAAGAAAUGGAAUCAAUCUGCCAGGUGCGGGGCUCAGGCCUGUUAUCCCAGUGGCUCAGGAGGCUGAGGCAGGAGGAUUAUGAGUUCAAGGCCAGCCUCAGCAAUUAACGAGGUCCUGAGCCACUUAUCAAGACCUUAUCUCAAAAUUAAAAAAAAAAAUUAAAAAAGGGCUGGGGAUGUAGCUCAGUGGUUGAGUGCUCCUGGUCAAAAAAACAAAACAAUAACAACAAAAAAAAAACACCCCACAAAACUGCAGAGAGAUACCACUUCACACCCGCCAGGAUGGCAGUAAUCAAAACAUUAACCAUAACAAGUGUUGACAAAGAUGUGGAGAAAUUGCAAUCGAAACCCUCAGACUCUGCAGGUGGGAAUGUAAAAUGGUGCACACUCUUGAAAACAGUCUGGCAGAUUCUCAAAAGUUUGGACAUAGAGUUUGC
rnacentral:lncRNA from 1 species